rnacentral:rRNA from 1 species
AUGCGUAGGGUACAAACGUUAUCCGGAUUUACUGGGCGUAUAGAGAUGCGUAGGCGGUUUGAUAAGUCUUGAGUUAAAGACCUCGGCUCAACCGAGGAAGAGCUUUCGAAACUAUCAGACUUGAGACAUAGAGGGGUGAACGGAAUUCCGAGUGGAGUGGUGAAAUACGUUGAUAUUCGGAGGAACAUCGGUGGCGAAAGCGGUUCACUAGCUAUUGUCUGACGCUAAGGCUCGAAAGCGUGGGUAGCAAAACGGAUUAGAUACCCGUGUAGUCCACGCUGUAAACUAUGGAUGCUAGGUGUUUGGUAUGACUAUUUUUAAUCUUCGGAUUUUAGGUAGAAGUACUGAGUGCCGCAGCUAACGCGUUAAGCAUCCCGCCUGGGAAGUACGGCCGCAAGGCUAAAACUCAAAUGAAUUGGCGGGGACCCGCACAAGCGGAGGAGCGCGUGGUUUAAUUCGAUGGCAAUCGAAGAACCUUACCAGGGUUUGACAUGUAUCUGCAUAUCUUUGGAAACAGAGAUAGCCUUCGAGGGUGAUACACAGGUACUGCAUGGCCGUCGUCAGCUCGUGUCGUGAGAUGUAGGGUUAAGUCCCGAAACGAGCGCAACCCCUAUCCCAUGUUACAAGUGUCUUGGGAAACUGCCUCGGUAAAACGGGGAGGAAGGUGGGGAUGACGUCUGGUCCGCAUAGUCCUUAUGUCCUGGGCUACACACGCGCUACAAUGGUCGGUACAAUGGGCAGCCAAGCCGCAAGGCGGAGCUAAUCCUUUAAAACCGAUCUCAGUUCGGAUUGUGGGCUGCAACUCGCCCGCAUGAAGUUGGAUUCGCUAGUAAUCGUGGAUCAGCCAUGCCACGGUGAAUACGUUCUCGGGUCUUGCACACACCGCCCGUCAAGCCAUGGAAGUAGGUGAUACCCGAAGGCGUCUUGCUGUUUACAGUGGGAUGACGAAGGUAACGCUUAUGACUGGGGUU